GACGAACGCUGGCGGCGUGCCUAAUACAUGCAAGUAGAACGCUGAAGGAGGAGCUUGCUCUUCUGGAUGAGUUGCGAACGGGUGAGUAACGCGUAGGUAACCUGCCUGGUAGCGGGGGAUAACUAUUGGAAACGAUAGCUAAUACCGCAUAACAGUAGAUGUUGCAUGACAUUUGCUUAAAAGGUGCAAUUGCACCACUACCAGAUGGACCUGCGUUGUAUUAGCUAGUUGGUGGGGUAACGGCUCACCAAGGCGACGAUACAUAGCCGACCUGAGAGGGGGAUCGGCCACACUGGGACUGAGACACGGCCCAGACUCCUACGGGAGGCAGCAGUAGGGAAUCUUCGGCAAUGGACGGAAGUCUGACCGAGCAACGCCGCGUGAGUGAAGAAGGGUUUCGGAUCGUAAAGCUCUGUUGUAAGAGAAGAACGAGUGUGAGAGUGGAAAGUUCACACUGUGACGGUAUCUUACCAGAAAGGGACGGCUAACUACGUG
rnacentral:rRNA from 1 species